AAGGUACUCCCUCCGUCCGAAAAUACUUGUCACCAAAAUGGAUAAAAGGAGAUGUAUCUAGAACUAAAAUGCAUCUAGAUACAUCCCCUUUUAUCCAUUUUGAUGACAAGUAUUUCCGGACGGAAGGAGUAGUAA
rnacentral:pre_miRNA from 1 species